rnacentral:rRNA from 1 species
AGAGUUUGAUCCUGGCUCAGGAUGAACGCUGGCGGCGUGCCUAACACAUGCAAGUUGAGCGAUUUACUUCGGUAAAGAGCGGCGGACGGGUGAGUAACGCGUGGGUAACCUACCCUGUACACACGGAUAACAUACCGAAAGGUAUGCUAAUACGGGAUAAUAUAUUUGAGAGGCAUCUCUUGAAUAUCAAAGGUGAGCCAGUACAGGAUGGACCCGCGUCUGAUUAGCUAGUUGGUAAGGUAACGGCUUACCAAGGCGACGAUCAGUAGCCGACCUGAGAGGGUGAUCGGCCACAUUGGAACUGAGACACGGUCCAAACUCCUACGGGAGGCAGCAGUGGGGAAUAUUGCACAAUGGGCGAAAGCCUGAUGCAGCAACGCCGCGUGAGUGAUGAAGGCCUUCGGGUCGUAAAACUCUGUCCUCAAGGAAGAUAAUGACGGUACUUGAGGAGGAAGCCCCGGCUAACUACGUGCCAGCAGCCGCGGUAAUACGUAGGGGGCUAGCGUUAUCCGGAUUUACUGGGCGUAAAGGGUGCGUAGGCGGUCUUUCAAGUCAGGAGUGAAAGGCUACGGCUCAACCGUAGUAAGCUCUUGAAACUGGGAGACUUGAGUGCAGGAGAGGAGAGUGGAAUUCCUAGUGUAGCGGUGAAAUGCGUAGAUAUUAGGAGGAACACCAGUUGCGAAGGCGGCUCUCUGGACUGUAACUGACGCUGAGGCACGAAAGCGUGGGGAGCAAACAGGAUUAGAUACCCUGGUAGUCCACGCUGUAAACGAUGAGUACUAGGUGUCGGGGGUUACCCCCCUCGGUGCCGCAGCUAACGCAUUAAGUACUCCGCCUGGGAAGUACGCUCGCAA